GCCUGUCCGUGCCCUCAGCCCGCACCGACCCCGCCGCCCUCAGCCCGGGGACCUCGGCGCGCGCCGAGCCCCGCGCGCGGCCGCCGGAACCGAUUGCGCACCCUUCCGCCGCGGGGUCACGUGACGUCCCGUCGGUUCCCGCAAGAUGGCGGCGCCCAUGUUGGUGCCCGAGCCCCCCCUGGGGAAGCCGAGCCAUCAAAAGUACAGAGCGAUUCUGAAGAAGGAGAAGAGGAAAAAAAAGCGGCAGGCGCUUGCCAAAACUAAGGGACUCAGGUAACUGAAGUGUUUGGUACUGUCAGUGGAACUAGAAGUGAACUAGUGAGGAUUUUUUUUUUAAGAUAUCAUUUUGUGUAUCUGUGUUGGCCAUAGCAUGCAGUUGUGUAGGUGUGUUGAAUUGUGCUUUUUUUCAGAAGCUGCAGAAAAAGAUGAAUCUGUGUCUGAGGAGGAAGAGGAGGAAGUGGAAGAAGAGGAGGAAGAAGAAGAAGAAAAAAAACUUGAGGCAGAAAGACAAAAACUACAUGAGCAGUGGUUGCUGAGAGAAGAAAAGGCCCAAGAAGAGUUCAAGCUAAAGAAAGAAAAAGAAGAGGCUGCAAGAAAGCGUCAAGAGGAAGAAGAGGUAUAAAGAUGUAAAACCUUAGAGUUGUGCUAGGCAACAAGGUAGCCGAGUAUAGUAACUUUCAUUGUUUUGUGAUGGACCCAUUUUUCUUGAUGCUGGUGUGUUUGCAAGCAUAGACUCUCCACUCUUUUGUAUAGAAAAGCAGAAUUGAGAAGAGAAGAAAACAACAGCUCUUAAAAGGGUUUUUGUCAGAUUUAGUUGCUUCUGACUGGAUGAAAACUUAAUGGUCAAGGAGUUGUAAUGCAACAUGCUGCUUUUGACUUUGAUUGUAAAGCAUUGUUCCUUAAUUUAUUUUUUUCUGUCAUAAAGAGGAAGAUCAAAGAAGAAUGGGAAGAGCAGCAAAGAAAAGAGAGAGAAGUGGCACAGCAGAAGCAACAGGAGAAGAGAGAGAGAGAGGUGAUUCUUGGUGGUGGGAGGAUAUACAUGUUAUAUAUCCUGUGACAUGAUCAGAUGCAACAGUUGUGCAUGUUGAAAAGGGAUUUUUUUAUAAUUAGCAAAUGCAUUAGUUAACCCAUUCUGUCUAAGCUCCUAAACCAUUCUUCAGUGUUAAAGAGCAUCCAGGGGCUCCAUAUACUGAAGUGUAACUCCUGUUAACCCAUCUGGUUGUUCACAGUAUGUAAUUGUUUACAUCAGGUGAAUACAAAGGUACUGUGCCAGUGCAGGUUCUGAUAAGUGCACUUUCUGCAUCAUGUGUUAAACAUAAUCCUUCCUUAAUGUCCCAGUUAAACACAGUCAGUGCUGAAGAAAAUGCCCAAAGAGGAUAUGGAAUAUGGAAGUACAUUGCUGCUGUUCCUUAACACAGUUAUUAAUCAAAAGAUGUGUUACAGCUCUUCUUUACCUGACUCAUCCAACAGGAUGUAUCUUUUUUCAGAGCUCCUUGGGUGGAAUAAAAAUGAUAUUGAAGAUACAAGUCAUUGAUAACAUUUCUGUUAAUGAUACAUUUGUCUUAAGUUUUACAAGUUCACUGACCUGGAUGUAAGGUGUCCUGUACAGUAAUCCAGUGUGAGGACUAGCCUCUUACUGCCACUGAAGAGUGACUGCAGCUUUCUAGGCUCUGGUCACUUUAGAUUCUCCACAGUCACAAAGUUUCCAGUCAUUUCUCUGGGAGCUGUGUCUGAUAGCCACAGCGGAGAGGAGCCAUGAGCAGACACUUAGUGGCUGUGCCAGUGAUGAUGUAACACUUGAAUGAGGGAUGCCAAAGAACAGCAACUAUUGUAUUUCCUGUCUUGUUUCCUCUGGUGUUCAGGUGUCCAUUUCUGUCUUUGCAGAGUAGGGAGACAAAAUUAUGCUCGUGUCCUUUAUUUAGGGUUGAGAUGCAGUUUGGAGAGAGUUGAGCCAUGAUAACAGCAGGAUUUUAUUUCCUCCCCUCUGUCGUUGUGUUUGGGUGUGCCCAAGCCCUCUGUGGGAUAACUGGUGUCCCUGAACUAGAUGGAAGCAGCUUUCUUUUUUAUUUGGUUGUUGGAUUCUUUGCUUUGUGUUUUUCUGGGUUAUUAUUUCUGGGGAUAGUGAGUUAAAUUGGCUUAUAGAGGGCAAUGACAGGCACCCAGAGGGAAACUGAUUACCCAGCUAAAAGCAGAGCCACCCAUUUUAGCAGCAGAAAGUUGUUUAAUUGGUUUUGCCUGUGUCUUGAAACAGCAGUUUAUUCAAGUUCUAACAGUGAUACAAUAAAAAAAAUAAUUUCCCUCCCUAAAAUGAAGAAAUAGAUUUUCUAGUUUGAUGGGUGGUGGUGAUUAGAGGCUUUUUUGGAGAGGGUGAAGGAUUAGUUUUGGCUUUGGGUUUUGUUUGGUUUUGUUUUUGUUUUUGUUUUUUCUUUGUUUUGGUGGGUUUUUUUGUUUUGUUUUUUUUUUUUUUUUUUUUUGUUUGUUUUUUUUUUUUGUUUUUUUUUGGGGUUUUUUUGUGUGGUUCAGGGAGUUUUGUUUGUUCUGUUUAAUUUUUCUUUAUUAGAGCGGGUACUAUCUAACAUCCUUGGUGAUCAGUACCAGGUGCUGUCUGGGACCUCAUCUUUAAUUGCAUUUUUUAAUUUUCAUUUGCUCUUUUAAAAUUUAAUUAAUUCUCUUCCAGUCCUAGCAUAUUUUCUUGUACUGAUUAUGUUAAAAUAUCUUUUUUCUAGGAACUUCAUAGCGCAAUUUAUUAGAAGUAGUGUCCAGCCAGUUUUGGAGAGUUGUAUUGUUAUGCUCAGCCCACUUAGAAAAAUGAAGGAAAAAAAUCCUAAUUGCUUUCCUGUAUUUGGAAGGCUAGAUGUGGUUAACUUGCAAUGUUUAAGUUUCUUACCAGUUAUAUCUCUUGCUUUAACAGAGGCUCACUAAGCAUUGCAUUUUUCUGUGUGUUGCAUGAAAUGUGUAAGUUAAAACAUUUCGUGCAACUGAACGAUUAUGGACUCACCUGUAACCAGGCUGUGUGCUAGAGCAGCAGAUAGAUUUAAGCAUCAAUAGUUCUAUGAUAGUUUUAAAAAAGAAAAUUAAACUUCUCUGUUGUCUGUCAUUUAGUUUAGAAGAUCAUCUGCGUGAGGGUCUUGUCUGAUGUAUCCUUUAACAGCUUUGUAGUACAUGAAUUGCUACAGAGCCAAAGUAAAUCUCCCAUUUUUAAAGCAAACCCCAUCACACCUUCAUUAUGCAUAAUCACUGAGCAUUGUAAAUUAGGUUCUUAACUAAAGAAACCAGAUGUUUUGUGUAUCCUCAGGGUUUUCACUAGUCCUGUGUUUGCACCAUU
rnacentral:lncRNA from 14 species